UGGGGAAUAUUGGACAAUGGGGGCAACCCUGAUCCAGCAAUGCCGCGUGUGUGAAGAAGGUCUUCGGAUUGUAAAGCACUUUCGACGGGGACGAUGAUGACGGUACCCGUAGAAGAAGCCCCGGCUAACUUCGUGCCAGCAGCCGCGGUAAUACGAAGGGGGCUAGCGUUGCUCGGAAUGACUGGGCGUAAAGGGCGUGUAGGCGGUUUACACAGUCAGAUGUGAAAUCCCCGGGCUUAACCUGGGAGCUGCAUUUGAUACNUGUAGACUAGAGUGUGAGAGAGGGUUGUGGAAUCCCCAGUGUAGAGGUGAAAUUCGUAGAUAUUGGGAAGAACACCGGUGGCGAAGGCGGCAACCUGGCUCAUGACUGACGCUGAGGCGCGAAAGCGUGGGGAGCAAACAGGAUUAGAUACCCUGGUAGUCCACGCUGUAAACGAUGUGUGCUAGAUGUUGGGUAACUUUGUUAUUCAGUGUCGCAGUUAACGCGUUAAGCACACCGCCUGGGGAGUACGGCCGCAAGGUUGAAA
rnacentral:rRNA from 1 species